AGCAAUGUAAUACUGGCCAGGAGACUGGUCUGUUGUCAACAAAAUGUCCAUGGUUUGUCCAGGACCUAUCAUAAUAUAGCUCGUGACAAAUGGUUUUAGGUAUGCUGCAUCUCUUCCCACGACUGUGACGUUGUGUCCAGCAAUAGCAAAGAAUACUUCUGUGUUCAUGAUUGCAUUAACUAAUCGAAGAAGAUAGGUCUUUCCAUACUCAACUUGCCAACGAUAUGUUGUUUCUGCCAGCAAAUUGGGAUGCUAAUUAAUUGUUGAGAACAAAUUUAGGUACAAACCUUCAGAUAAUACUAUUUAUCUUUUUCUUUUUUUCGCUUUUAGAAUAAUAUGAUAGUUUACCUUUAGAGCAAUUACAAAAGUCGCCUGGUUCACCGUUUAUGGUAUAGGCAUCUGAUGCAGGUAAAUCUGCCCCAGUUAGAAGGUCUUCUGCAACCACUAAAUUCACAUCAUAAGUAUACCAUGAUCCUGCCAAUACAGAAACAGAACAAAGAGUAAGUACAUUAUUACGAAUGAUUCUAGGGUGGGAUGCAUGAUCUUGAAAGAAAUGGAGAAGUCUUGUGUACCUAAAACAAGAACUUCUUCACCAUCAGGAGUGGGAUAAGGAUAUGAAGUUCCUUCUUCAGGGUGAAUGACGAUGGCUCCGUGAACAGUAUUUCUUGUCCAAUCACUGUGGGCAUGCCACCAGAGGGUCCCUACCUCAUCAGAAAAUAUCACCUCAUAAGUGAAGUUUGUACCCGGUUGAAUUCCACAUUGUGUGAUGUACUCCGGGCCAUCAGACCAUGGAUUUCUCGGUUGCUUCACUCCAUGCCUACAACCAUUAAAAUUUAUUACAGUAUGCUUAGUUUUGAAUAUUGUUAUAAACUCAGAAUUUCCAAUACUUCGUUAAUGUAAGUGAUGAUUCUAUAUAACAGAUGCCAAUCCUCGAGAAUAUAAGAAGACAAAAGUCUACUAACAGACUAAAAAAGGGACGAAUUAAAUUAGACAGCAAAUAUACAUACCAGUGAAGGGUAACUUUAUAACCUCCUUCGUUAUGUACAUUAACGAACAUGGUGUCACCCUUGUUAACAUAAACCACUGGCCCUGGAAUGCUGCCAUUGACGACCAAAGCAGACUUGGUGCUACAUAACUUGGUAAAAUUUUUAUCUUCCAACUAAAAAUGACAUCAAAAUAAAAUAGCUUGAAACUGUUAUUCCUUAGAAAUUUAAAUAAAAAAUAUGAAUGUCCAUUGAAUUACUUGAAAAAAAUGUGCACAAUCUUUUGUAUUAAGUAUAUAAUUAUUUUCAAUUCGAUUGAUUCUUACAUUUAAAAAUUCUUGAAAAAACCUAUUUUUCAUUUACUUUUAUUCAGAAUACUUUUACAUUGUAUAUAAAGCUAAAUUUCUAUGCACCACUGUUAAACGAUAAAAUAUUUUCAAUAAAUAUGAUUUCAAAAAUAACAUAAUAUAUAAUGAAAACAUAAAUAUAAAAGCAUGCAUAUGAUAAAUUUAUCAUACUUACAACAAAAUCAUAGUAGUGAACCUUUCCUUCAACGGUGGAAGGAAGCAACCCAAUGAAACUCAUAAAAACAAGUAUAAAAUCCAGAAGCAAACCCAUCUUCUUCGGUCCCAUUUGGUCACUUCUAAACUUCAAAUGGACUUUGAUGGAAACCAUGUUUUAGCUGCAUAUACUUUUAUACAGCAGCCAGGGACUAUCACGUGCUAUAAUGAUAACCUGACUUAUGGUUGGGUGGUUCUUUACUUUCGGUUGGUUAAGGGAAAAAAAAGAAAAGACAUUAAAAAAAACAAAAUAAAAAUGAGACUAGUUAGGUACAAGGAAUUCUUUUGCAUAUAUGUAUUAGACGGAUGGGACAAAUUCUUAUGGGUUGAUUUCUUUGUUGUGCGUUUAAUUGUUUAAAUUAGGGGAAAAAAGUACGUGAAAGUUAUUUCAUUAAUAUUCUUGUUAGUGAAAUGUGUUUGUUUUUGUUUAUUUUAAAUGAAAGAAGUAUCUGAUUAAGAGUUAGCUAUAUUUUGAAUCAAAUCAGUUUAUUGUAGUUAGGGCUGAGCACGGAUCGGUCCAGUUCGGUUAUCUAUAAAUCACCAAUACCAUACUAAAUAUCGAUUCUUUUAAAAUUGAAGAUACAAGUGCCGUACCAAAUAUAAAAGGAUUAAUACUGUAUUGUACCAAUUUUUAUGGUUAAAUAUAAUUCGGUUUGGUGCUAUUUUUAGUUCUAAAAAAUUUAGAAAAACACAACUUUAAUCUCAUAUUUAAUCAAACACAUUUAGAGAAAAUAUGAUUACCAAUCUAAAAAAAAAUAGCAUGAAAAUCUGAAUUAAAGUUGCAAUCACAUUCUUAACAACAUGUUUUACAAUUCAGUCACUUGCAAGUAUAAUAAUUCAUUCAACGUUCAAAUACAAAUCAUUGGAAUAUAUGUUACUGCUAGCAUAAAAAUAUUUUGCAUAUGACAAUCAUUAAAAUAAAAUAUUUUUCACAGUUGCAGCCAACAAUUUACCCAUCAAAAAUAAAAAUAGAAAAGUAAAAAAUAAAAAGAAAAUUAUCUAGGACUGACAUGACGGCACAGUUAUGGAAGAGAGAUCGCUAAAAAGGAAGACGUCUACGCUAACCAAUCUUGCUUCUGUAUUUUAUGAGCCAAUUAUGUGUGCGCUAAAGAGAAAGACGUCUAGGCGAGCCAAUUUCUUCCUUCUUACUUUUGAUUUUCUGUCUAGAAAUUUACUUUAGGGAUUUUGUCUUUCUGAAUUGAAAACUUAGAGGUGCGGUGGUGUGUUCUAAAGAGGAAGACGUUUACGUGAGCGAAUUUUUUCCUUCUUCCUUUUGAUUUUCCAUUCAGAAAUUUUGCCUUAGGGAUUUUGUCUUUCUAAAUUGCAAAAUUGGAGGUGCGGCGGUAUAUUCUAAAGAGGAAGACGGUGUGUUCAAAUUGUUAGGUGUAUGCUUGUAGUAUGUGGUAAGAAAAGAUAUUAGGGUUAAAUUAGUAGAUAGUAAAUUAUAAAUUUAAUGUUGGAGUAUGCAUAUUAGUAUUAGUAUACUAUAUAAUAUAUUAAUAUAUAACUUAUAUUUUUUUAUAGAGUAUAAAGUACAUUAUAAUAUUAUAGUUAUUUUUAAUAUGUAGUAUUUUUUUUUAUUUCGAUAAUACUUGCUUGAAUUAUAUAAAAUGAUAAAUAUAAAAUAAUUUUAUUUAUAGAGUAUAAGUUAUUUUAUAAUAUUAUAGUUAUUUUUAAUAGGUAUUAUUUAUAUAAUAUAAAUAAUUAUUAAUAAAUAUAUAAAAAAAUUCGGUUCUACGGUUUGGUCCAGAUCAGUACAAGACGGAUCGGUUCUGGUAUGUUAUGGUACAGUUUUUACUAAAGAACCAGUAGCAUACCGUAAUAGAAAAAAAAAUUCGGAUCAGUUCAAUUCGGUCAUUAAAAAUUUUGGUUAUUUCGGUUUUGGUAUUUUUCGGUGCGGCUAUUCGGUUCGGGCGGGAAUCACCGAGAUUCAUGCUCAGCCUUAGUUGGAGUGGCUUAAGAUCUUACUCUAUUAUUUAAAUUUUUUAAUCUGCCACAAAUUAAGAAAUUUGAAUAUUUGUUUGAUGUAUAUAUCUAUAUUUAAUUCCUUACUCUCUCAUUCAAAUUCGAUGCUUUUUAUUUUCAAAUCAGCUUAUUUAGAGUGGCUAAAUUCGAUGCUUUAUUUUUAAUUUGCAGGUUCAAGACCUCACUUUUUCAUCCAAAUUCGAUGCUUUUAUUUUCAAUGUCCACGUGAAUUAAGAAAUAUAUUCAUGAAUUAAAAAUAUGAAUAUAUUUUUGUAGUAUAUAUAUCUAGAUUUAAUUUAAAGCAUGUCGAGUAUUGACUUUUAUGGGUGGCAAAACACUUUCUCAAAAGCUUAACACAGUUGCAUGCCUAAAGUUCAAACUUGAAACCUUAGUUAAACUAGAAGAUACCAUUACCAUCUCAUCUAUAUACUCUUGAGUAAUAUGAAUUUUUUUUAAUUUAUGCUAUUAAAUUUUAUUAUUAUUUUUUAAAAAUAUCUUUGUUAAACUUUUCUUAAAAAAACCAUAAUUAUAAUUUAAAAAUAUUAAAUUUAGUACUAUAUCAAUUGAUGAAAAAUAUCUUUAGUAAUUAUUUAUUAAAUUAAUAAUUACUAAACAAACUAAAAUUUAAGACAGACUAAAAGAAAAAAAAGAUUGCCAAUUUAAACUUGUUUAAUUACAAUUUGUAAAAGAAGUUUUACCAAAUAACAUAAAUAAAUUUCCUGAAAUUAUUGAUCAUACAAGGAGUUCAUUCUUUUCUCAAUGCAUAUGGGAUUUUAGUAACAAUUCCAAUAACAGGUAAAUGAAAGUUUUUGGAAAAUAAAAUUAGUAAAGUCUUACUUAAUAUUUAGAAUUUCAUAAAAAAAUAUUGUGAGUUGCCCUGUGUAUUUUGAAAAUAUAUGCCAGAAAAAAAUGAAAAUGAAAGAAAUUAAUUAAUAUGGCUUCAUUUCAAAAUGUAAAUAAAAAAUUAUAUAAUUGACAUUGAUAUAUCUAAUUUUAAAUUUCUGCUAAAAUCCGAACAGUUAAAGCCAAUCCUAACUGUAUGCAAUUAAUGAAAUUAGUAAUUUAUUAUUGUGUUACAUGAUUGUAUAGUUAUUUUUUAAUUAUAGGUAGUAAUGUGAAUUGAGUCUAUAAAGAAAACUAAUAAUAUUCUCAAUAUUUUAUAAUUACUCAUCAUAUUUUAAAAGUUAAUAAUAAUUUAAUAUAUUCUUAAGUACUCUCUUCAAUCAAUUUUUUAUAUAUUAAAACUUUAUUAAUGCAAUAAAUAUAAAAAUUAUGUUAAAAAUAAUUAUAAAACUCAUUAAUCAUAUAAAAUAUAAUUGAUAUGCUAUCUAAAAGAUAACAACCAUUGUAUAAUUAGAAAAUCAAUUAAUUAUAAAAUUUGUGUCUUGUCUCUCGACAAGUUUCUUACUUUUCCUGUUUUUGAACUCUGUUUAUCGACAUAUUCUUUUUCUAUCUUUCUUGCUUGCUUCUGUUUCCUUAUCAUGUCAAAACUGAGAUUGAAGAGUUAUGUGCUUAAUUGACUAUUGAGGAAGAAGAAGAGGGGGGUCUAGAGAUUGAAGGAGAAAGCCUGAAUGAUAAUUGUGUAGAUCUUCGCUGGACAUUGGUGGACAGAUUCCUCACCGAAAAAGGAAUUAAUUUCAACGCCAUGAAACAAAUGAUGGCAUCUCUAUGGUGUCCAGUUAAGAGCGUAUGUAUUAAGGAUUUCAAUUCUAACAUGUUCUUAUUUCAAUGUUUUCAUGAGGUGAAUAUGAAGAGAGUGAUUGAUUCAGGCCCAUGUGAUGUAAACUUUUGAUAGAAGAGAAGAUUACAAGAUUACACGCCAAGAUCGAUAUUUAUAAGGUUUGACAAAAGUUAUUUGCGGAACUAUCACCAUUAUUUAUAAAGAAAUAAGAUUAAUAGCUAUAAUUAGAUGAACUUAAUUAAUCCUAGAAACUAACAAGUUAAUAGAAUUAAAUUAAGGUAGAAGUGAAAUCAAAACCUAAAUAAUAAGCUUUAAUUUCAAGAACACUGAAAGAAACUCUUUAAGCAAAAAUAAGGUUUUCUAUUCAAUCAAAAUAUAUGUAUCCUUUUGCAGAAUUACAUAGCUCUAUUUAUAGAUUUUAAAUAAUCCUAAUCCUAGAAUGGCUAGGAUAUGCAGCCAAGACUCCUAAAUAAACAAAACUUGAAGUAGAAGAGUAGCAAACUCCUAUUUUGACUCGGACUGUAAAAGAAGACUCAUAUUUUGAUUUGGAUUUUGACUUUGAAUAUUCAACCUUGGAAUAGAGCUUUACGUUUGGGCUUGAAUUCAACAUAAAUAAGAUCUGAUAUUCAUGUCUUCAUGUUGGGCUUUAACCCAUGAAUGAAAUACAAUUAAUCAAAGUUGAAUCUUAAUCUUCUAAGUCCAACUCGCUAACCUUGCUUCUUAAAUGCAUCUUGUCUAUCAUGUGGACCAUGAAAGAACACAAGGCAGCCUUGAAUCUCUUGCUUCUAACUCGUGUGAUUGGAUCCUCAUACUUCAAUGGAUCCAUUCGUGGCUUGCUUGGUGGUGAAGGAUCAGCCUUGAUUUUAUCACCAUGGACCUUUGAACAACACAUUCUGUUAAUCAAACAAUUGACUAAGCAGAUCACCCAAUGAAGGUUCCUUUAUUUCACACUCAUGUGUGGGUUCAGGCUAAUGAAUUGCCAAUAGGAUUAUGUCUGAAAAGGUGGCUAUGCAUAUACGGAAUUUCAUUGGUUCAUUCAUUAAAUCAGACGCUAACAAUUUUGAUGAAAGCUGGAGAAGUUAUAUGAGAAUCUUGAUGUUCGAAAUCCUCUCAAGCAUAAAAUGAAGAUCAAGAAGACGGCAGGGUGGAUUGGUCUUAGGUUUUGUUCCAAUAUGAGAGGUUUCCAAAUUCCUUAUGCAGAUGGUGAGAAUUUUGUCCUAAAUUUUUUGAAAAUCCAUCACUUCCUAUUGAAAAGCCUUAUGGAAGUUGGAUGGGGGCUAAACCUUGAAAGGUGCAACAAAAAUCCGAGAGAGAUGGUUGCAAGCAGCUCCGCCGAGCAAGGAGAAAAGUCUAUAGAUGGUGGUGACAGUAUAACUAUUGACUCUGACCUAAAUAUGGAAAAUAAUCCUAUAAUUCAAGGCUCAAAGAAAAGUAAGGCAAUCAUAUAGGAGGCAGGAUACGUGAUUAGUGGAAUUAACAACGAUGGUAGGGAAGUUAUGAAAGAAACAUAUAUGAUGGUUAUGGAUAGCAGAUCUUCAGGAAAAGAUGGAACCAUAUUCUAAUCAAUAAGAUGGUGUAGUUAUUGCUAAUAUUAAGAAGCAUCAUUUGGAUGAGGCUGCACUUUCACAAAUUAAUAGGCUACAAAUGGGUGAAGUCCAAGUUGAUUCUUCAAGCUCAAAAAACUUGAUCAAGGCGGGUACUGGGAUCCAGGCCCGUUAGGAAUUAUGAGUACCUUAAGUUGGAAUUGUCGUGGGAUAGGCAAACCAUGUGGAGUUCAACUUUUAAAAGAGCUAGUCCAUAAAAAUAAGCCUCAUUUUUUUAUGAGACCGUUUGUACUAGAAUUAAAAUUGAACCAAUAGAAUUGCAACUUGGUUAUAGUAGGUGUUUCUCUGUGGAUUGUGUGGGCCAUAGUGGAGGGUUGGCAUUACUUUGGAAGCAUCCUAACUCUGUGAAACUCAUUGGCUAUUCUCAAAAACUUUAUCGAUGCUGAAGUUAACAUUUACAAUGUCAUGCCUGAGAUAUGAUUUGCCUCCUGUCUUAUAAAUCUCAUCUUCCUUGGUGCAGUAUAAGAGACUUUAAUGACCUCCUCUUCAUCAUGAAAAGAAAGGGCAGGUUCAUCACCCAUAUUGGCUAAUUGAUGGUUUUAAAAGAGCUGUGAUGGAUUUCAGGUUGUCUAAUUUAGGAAUGAAGGGGUACAAGUUCAUAUGGGAACGAGGUCCUGAUACGGAUAGGCUAGUAAAAGAAAGACUCGACAGAGUUUUUGGUACUUAAAAAUGGAUUGAUUAUUUCAAAGAAGCAACGGUCUGGAACUUGGGAAUAUCGACUUCAGUUCAUCUUCCUAUUUUUAUGGAUCUUAUUUUCACUAUCUCUAUCCCAAGAAACUAUAAGUUUUGUUUUGAGAAUUCUUGGCUGCGUGAAUUUGAUUAUAGAGAAGUAGUAAGCAAUAGUUGGAGCCUAGGUAUUUUGAUUCAAAGGGGCUUACAGCCUUAAAAAUCGACAUAAGCAAGGCUUAUGAUCAUGUUGAGUUAUGCUUCUUAAAAGGAAUCAUGGAAAAAUGGGAUUUGAGAAAAGAUGGAUUAAGCUUGUGAUGUUGUGUGUUUCUACUGUGAGAUAUAGUGUUCUCCAUGAUCAAGAGGUGUUGGGUCCUAUCAUUCCACAAAAAGGAUUAAAGCAAGAGUGUCCUCUAUCUCCAUAUCUCUCCAUCCUUUGUGCGGAGGGUUUGUCCGCUAUGUUUCGGAAGUUAGACGAGAUGGGGCUGCUUUAUGGGUGCAAAGUGGCGCGAGGUGCUCCUUCAGUAAACCAUCCAUUUUUUGUAGACAAUAGUUAUUUUUUCUUCAAGGCUAAUAUGAUGGAAAGCUCCCAUGUUACAAAUAUUCUGAAGUUGUAUGAGAAAGAGGCAGGUCAAUUUCCAGAAAUCACAAGUUUACUUUAAUGCUAAUGUCCAUGAAGAUCGAAGACGAGAUGUAUGUGGUAUAUUGGGUGUUCAAGAGGCUCUUGAUCAUGGGAACUAUUUGGGGCUUCCUUCAAUUAUUGGUCGAAAUAGGAAAAUUGCAUUAAGGUCGAAUAUGGAAGCAUUUACAUGGAUGGAACAAGAAAUUCCUCUCAAGAUCUGGAAAUGAGAUUCUCUUGAAAACAGUUGUUCAAGCAUUACCAAAUUACACUAUGAGUGUUUUCCUCUUGCCAUUGGAGCUAUAUAGAAACCUAGAGAAGAUGGUGAAUUCUUUCUAUUAGGAUUUCAAAAAAGAAGAGGCUCAUAGAAUACAUUGGAUGAACUGGGAGAAAAUAUGUGCAAAGAAAGCUCAAAGUGGAAUGGGCUUUAAGAAUCUCGAUGACUUUAAUAUUGCAUUUCUUGGAAAAAAAAUAUGGAGAAUGCUUGUAAAUCCUUAUGCUUUAAUGUGUAAGAUUUAUAAGGCGCGUUAUUUUCCUCGCUCAGUAGUGUUGGAUGCACAGAUUGGCUAUAACCCAAGCUAUGUUUGGCGUAGAAUUUUGGUAGCUCAGAAUUUGGUAAAGAACGGUUGUGGGUGGAGAAUUGGAAAUGGUUGUGGAUAAAGAAUGGUUGUGGUUAUGGUUGUGGGCUGGGCCUGGGAGGCCUGUUGGGCUGGAUGGGCCUGCUGGGCUGCCAAAGUCCGCUGGGCUGGAUGGGCCUGAGUGGAGGCUGGGCCUGGCCCAGCGGAGAGGUCCGGCCCAUGUAAACUGUGGGUCAAGAGGUCGGGUCGGGUUGCCAGAUUGGGUCGGGUCACUAGGUUGUAGUCGAAUUCAGUCCGGGUUGGGUCGAAACGGGUCGGGUCGGGUUGGUAAAACCCUAGAAACUCAGGUUGCAUUUCGGGUCGGGGGGUCAUAUAUUUUUCGGCAUAUGACGCCCCCAUUCCCAAAUGCACACCCUUUCUAGGGUUUUCCCCCCUUCUCAUCCCGCUCCCCCAGCUUCUCCUCUUGCCUCCCUUCGAGCUUCCAGCCCCUUCCCACCCUCUCGAUGGCCUAAGCUGCGAAUGAAGGUGCCAGCAGCCAUCGCGGUGAUGGCCCUGCUUUUUGCAAUGGUCACAUCGAACGAUGACGCUCGACCCUCCUCUCUGUCGGGCUUGGUCUCGACGGAUAAGGUAGGAAUGGUUGUCUGUGCUUUCUGAUGACCCAUUCAUAGUGUUCCUUCUGGUUUCUUCGUGUUGAAUAGUCGUUAUCACAACGUCUAUCGAAGGCAGACGAGAGGCAAUGAGGAUCUGAGAACGCAAGCCUUCGUAGCUUGAAUCCAGGUCUCUGAGGUAGGUAUAAAUCAAGUCUUAUUCUGCUCUUCUUUGGAGUCCUUCUGGAUCAUUAGACGGAGGAAGGUAAUUUUGUAACUCUUCCUAUCUAGUUAAUAUCUCUGUUGCAUAUUCUGAGGAAUCCUUGGUCUGAGUGAUUUGAGAAAGUUCCUGCUUCAAUCUGAAAAUGUGUGCAAAGUUGUUUUGAUGCCCGUAGAGGCCUUUUAGUUUUUCCCAGAUUGCCUUUGAUGACUCCAUAAGGAUACACAGUCGAGAAAUCUGGCUUUCCAUGGUAUUAGUGAUCAUAGACAUGACCAGAUGGUCAAUUGUCUGCCACUCUUCCAUUCUGUCCAGUUCUUCUUCUGUUAGAGCCUCUGGAUUUACAGGUUUGGGUUUUUGUUUACUUCAAGUAAUGAAACCUAAUUUUUUUUCUGCCGCUGAGGGCAAUGGAAACAGAUUUUGACCACUCAAAAUAAUUUUGACUGCCUCGCAGAACAAUGUUUGUGAUUUUUGUGAUUUCUGAGUGAGCCAUUUUUUAGGCUUGAUUUUGAGUUGAUGGGGUAGAUGAUGACUGGUUUUAAACCAGCUCUGAUACUAUGUAGAAUUUUAUAGAACUGUGAUGAAGUUUAAUGUUAUAAGAAUUCUGAGUUCUUUACAACUUGAGAUGGAAUUAUAUACAUGUUAAGAUUCUGAGUUUUUUUCUAACGGACACUUCUGAAUUUUUGGGGAAAAUGUGGAAGUGACCUUUCCUGCUUUGCUGGAAAAAAUGCUCCCUUUUUUCCUUGGUCAGUGAUAAAAGGUCUGCACAAGUAACCUAGCUUGUGCAGCCUCUGAAACCAAAAAGGUUGCAGCUGCUUUUUGUUUUCUUCAACAGAAACGGAUUGUCUGAAUUUAGUCCAAGCUUUCUAUAGCUCCGAUGAGGAUGCUAUUGAUUUUGGGUUUAUCAUUGAAGGCUGUAGAACUCUUUUUGUAGAGAUUAGUCAUGCACAUUUAGUAUUUGUAAAAAAGUUUACGAACAAGUUUGCACAUUUAAUGGCAAGAGCAGCUUGUUCAAUGUCUGGUCUUACUGAAUGCAUCUCUGUCCCUCAUAUAUUUCUUAUUGAUGUAUUAGCUCUGGAUUCUUUACAGUAAUGAAUUUCUUAUUUUGAUUCAAAAAAAAAAAAAUAAUUAAUUGUUUAAUAUUAUAUUUUAAAUACAAUUAAAACAUUGUUUCUAAAAUUAAAAUUAUAACCUAAUUAGAAAUGAUUUAUUAUUAUAUAAUAAAUAUAAAAUUUUAUACACCAAUAUAAUUUUUAUCAAAAUAGAAUUUUUAAAUUAAAAAUAAAUAUAGCUGUCAACAGAGUAUAUAAUUAAUAUUAUAAUAUAUAAAAUUGAGCAUCCAAUUUGAAAUUAAUUUUUAAUUAAUAUUACAUUCAAAUUUGAUUAAAUUAGUAUUUUAUAAAUCAAAAUAGUACGUAUCGCAAGAGAAUAUAUAUAUUCAAAAAAAUUUGUAUUUCAAAAACUAAUUAUUUGUGGGAAACAUUUGGAUGACAUGGGAAGUUUGAGAUUCGGAUGGAAAGGAAUGACAGUUGGGAGACAAGCAAAGGGCACACGGCCACCAAUGCGCAAUUCAAACAACACUUAAUAAAUUAAAUGCAUUGGAUUGCACGCGAGCACAGUGUUACCAUGUGGCAUAUUAUCCACCACUUUCUCCACUUGUUGCAUAACUAUUUUCAGUUUAAUUUUUAAAAUUGAAUAGGAGAAGCAAUAAAAUCUGUAAAUUAUUGUUUCAUUCCAUUCUAAUUUUUUUUUUUAUCAAUUUUAUAUAUUUAAUAUAUAUUAUUAUCUUUUAAUUCUUGUAUUAGUUUCAUCUAUAAUUAAUUUUGUAAAAUUUUAUAAGUCUAUAGAAAAAUGUAAUAAACUUUAAUCUAUAUAAUUUUUAGUGCAAUUGUCUGAGAAUUGAAACAAUUAAAUUUUAUUAAAAUAAUUUCAUAAACACCUGAAAUAUUACAAAAUAAAAAAUAAUUUAGUUUUAUUUUUAAUCUUUUUUUCUAUAAUUAAAUAUAUUAAAUAUUUUUAAAAUUUAAGUAAAAUAUUAGAGAACGUAAAAUUAAUAUGAUAUAGAGUAAAUUACUUAUACUCCUUUCAUGCCAUCUUAAUAGGCUAUUUUUAAUAUGGUAUUUUCCUGCAGUGUACGUAUGCAUUAAUACAUAUGGAAAUCACCUAUAAUAGGAGGUCAUUUGUAAGUUAAUUUUAAUAUAUUUUUUUAAGUUCGAUUGAAAUAGAAAUAAAAAAUGUGAUACUAAUUUAAUUUAAAAAGUUAGUACUAUCUAAGUGGCAAUAUUUGAUACCAAUUAAGCAAUUUAGCCAAAAUUAAGUAUGAUGAGUCAAUAAAUGAAUGCUGACAUAGAAUUUUACUCUUCAUGUCAUAUAAAAUUAAAAUUUCUUAAUUAAUAUUGUCUUCUGUAACAAAAAUUAAAAUCUUAGUACUAAAAAAAUUAAAAGAAUAAUACCAAUUAAGAAUAUAAACUAAAAUUUUUAGUAUCAGUGAAACUAUUAUUUUACUUUUUAUUUCUUAAGAGGUUUUUGUGUUAAAUUUAAGGAGUCGGUAUGCAUUUACUAAGAUUUAUAAUUACAUGUUUUCCACAUGUCAAACACUUUCAACGUAUCUUAAUCUACUUCAAUGGAGAAUAUCAGCUUAAGACAAAUUAUAGUUUUUUGGUUGUAUGAAAUUCUACUUAGUUGAAAAUAUUAAUAAGAUUAGAUUUUAAAAUUAAAUUUAAUUAAGUUUAAUUUAAAUUUUUUUAAUAGAAUUAGAAUUUCAUAAAUUAUUUAUACUAAAUAAAUUUUUAAUUUUAAUAAUUUAAUUUAAUAAAUUAAAUUUAUUAAUAUAUUUAUUCACUCUUUCUUCACACUUAUAUAUAUAUAUAUAUAUAGUUAUGAUAGUUAAUACAUUACAUGAAAAGUAUAUUUUAUAUGAAAAUUAUAUUUAUUAAAAUUCAUUUAUUAUUUUCUUACGGUAUUCAAAAACUAUACUUUACACAUAUGAUUAAUAUCUAAGCAAAAAACAAAUAAAAAAACUUAAAAAUAACUUAAUAGUAAAGGACAUGCUAUUUCAUAUUAAAGUACACUAAUUAAUUAAUACUAUUAAUUAUUUUAAUAGUUUAGUUUAAAUUAGCAGUGAAUAUUAAUAUUUUUAUAACUAUAUGAACAUACAUUUAAUAGUAGUUCAUAAUAGUAGUCUUAAUGUCUUAAUCAGUUUCACCCAAAUUUUGUGAAACUGACGGCUAUUGUUGCUGCCACGAAGACAUAAAUAUAAAAUUACUUGCAUAAAAAAUUAUUAAAUAGACUCAAUAUAUUAAGUUAUUUUAAACUAAAUCACACAAUUUUAUUUAUUAAUUAUUAUAUUUUCAUUAAUAAUAUAAUAAUAUAAAUUUAAUUUGGUAACAUGUAGAUUUUAACCAUUAGUUGUUAAUAGAAAUAAAUAAACUAACUAAUAAAAAUACAAUAAUUAAAUAAAACUAUAUAAUUAAUUUAAUCUAAAGUCACAUAUUAAUAUAUAAUUAAUUUAAUCUACAGAUGAUGAUGAAUCUAUCUAAAAAUUUCUUAUAUCACACCAUAUACAAAACACCAAAAUAACAUUCAAAUUGCUUCCCUCCUCGUACCAAAUAGUCAAAAGCAUGACAUAACUUUCGCACAAUUUGCUCACAUAGCUGAACACAGCAACGAUUGAGAGGUCAAGAUAAAAAGAUCAUAAUAGUGAACCUAAUUGUACUAAUUGGGUAAAUUUUAAAGUGCUUACAGUCAUUUUUGAGAAAUUUAUAAAAAAAUAUUUUAAUAUGUAAUUUUAUAUAAAAAUUACAUAUUAAAUUAUUUUAUGUAAAAUGGAUGAAUACAUUCACCUACUAAUCCAUACUUGAAUGACUCAAAUAUUGAACCUAGGUAUACGUAUUCUCGUAUUUCUGUUGCAGGUCUUCAGAUGAAGAAUCUGCUCUGGAAAGUCCAAGCGCUGGUGCAUCAUCACAGAUAGGCAUAUUUGGUGGUGGUUUGCGGAUACAUGUCUCAGGAGUGCCACCAUCUUUUACUAUAAUCACUGUGUCCAUUCCCCAACUUAGAUGACGAUCUAAGUGACAGUGCCAUAGCCAAACUCCUGUACAACAUUAAUGAUCUAUCCAUGUUAUCUUGAUAUUUACACAUAUGUACUUGUAUUAUUUACUAUAUAUCUUGAUUCAAGAACUUACCAGGAUUUAGUGCUCUGAAUCUAACUGAAAGCCAUCCGACCUUUGGAAGUGUAGCAGUGUUUACAUAUGGUGGAUCAACCAAAUUGUACUUUUCAGGAUCCUCUUCGAAAUCAAAAUUUCCAGGUCCUGCUCCUACCACAUAAAAACUAUAUCCAUGAAGAUGCAUUGGAUGAUCCUCGGAUGCGUUCAAAAUAUUAGAAUUUUGAAAGAUCAUUUCCACUUCUUCUCCAUAUUCAAGCACCUUCACUUUGGUACCCAACACUGACUCUGUCGAAUUAACUAAAAAAUCAUCUGCAACAAAAUCAUAGAAUGUAGGCGGCAUGUCUGGGAAAUCUUCUGUGAAGAAACCACUAAUGUUGCUGUAAAUUUAAACCAAAAAAAAAAAAAAAGAAAAAAGAAAGAAAUUUGCCUUUAGCAUUAGCCUGUGUCCUGUUCAAGAUUUUUAUCUUUGCAUGAAGGAAUUAAAGUGCAGAUAGAAGAGCAUACUAGUAAUAAGCCUGAAGCACGUCUGUUUUUGGAUUCACGAAAGAGACAUUAUUUAAGCUUGCUGCUAGAGUGCUAACAGCUCCACCGUCUGGUUGGUUCAGAGCUAGUAAGUUUUGAGCUGCAGUAAUGUACAUCCAGGUAGUGAUGUUUUUCGGGACAUCUUGAUUAUAAAGACUCCUUAACUUGUUUCUAAAUGCUACGCCGGCAUCAAUAUCUGUAUAAGAAGGAAGGGUGUCGUAUGGGAAAGAAGUUGGGUAACUAUAGUUGCCUUUAUACUCAAGAAUCGCGGUAACAUUUACUUUGUCAUAAUCAGUAAAACUUGAUUUGUCUGUGUAUAAUUGUCUGGCAGCAAUGUAAUACUGGCCAGGAGACUGGUCUGUUGUCAACAAAAUGUCCAUGGUCUGUCCAGGACCCAUCAUAAUAUAGCUCGUGACAAAUGGUUUUAGGUAUGCUGCAUCUCUUCCCACGACUGUGACGUUGUGUCCAGCAAUAGCAAAGAAUACUUCCGUGUUCAUGAUUGCAUUAACUAAUCGAAGAAGAUAGGUCUUUCCAUACUCAACUUGCCUACGAU
rnacentral:lncRNA from 1 species